CACAGAGUGGUUCCAGUUCUCCCUGCCUCUGGCCGGUGCCCCCUUGGCAGUCAAGCCACGCUCACUGCUCACCGGAGGACACUGCUGCAUCCCUGUUCCCCGCCUCCCAGGGGUCUUUCUGGAUUCAUCUGCUCCCUCAACACUCAAAAGGCACAGGGCUGCACCUGAUUCCAACCCAGCCCUCCCCUCACAGACAGCAGAGACACAAAUAGCAGGAAAGUGUGGUGAACGCUUGACCAGACGUCCUCAUCCACCUCACUGAGGAUUAAAUAAGACAGCGAGUGCCGCGGGGACAGCAUCUGGCGCACGGCCAGCGGUCAGUCCCUCUCAGCUGCUUUGAUUUCCUGGAGUCUAAUCGCAAAGGCUUCAGCACCGGCAGGGCCUCCCCAAACUCCUCCGCCUUUUCCCCAACUGGACCCAGCCAUCCCAGAAGGCCAGAGGACAGAGGGAAACUGACCCCCCAGCAAGGGACAGUGCCUGGCCUGGGGUCACACAGCCAGCAGGAGACAGAGCCCCGAGAGGUAGACCUCACCUCUGCCUGUUCCAAAUGAAGAAACUGAAAGAAAAUGACACGAAGCCCUGGCUGGGUGGCUCAGCAGGAUUGGAAUGUCUCUCUUUGGGGAACGGAGUCCAUGGAGAGAUGAAUGGAGAGGGUUGCCCCCCUCCCCCUUCAACGAAGAAGGAGCCCGAGAGAAGCUGUGGAGGGACCGGACCUUCUGAGAAGGCUCCAGAAUGUUGCAACAUUUCGGCUUGUUCAGCCCAAACGGAGAUUUAGAAGAGGAUGCUUCCCCAGCCUGAAGUACCUGAUGGCGCCUGCAUUCCAGGGAGCGCUCGACAGGAAGUAAGCCAACCCCGGUGUCCAGCUCGCUUGCGGUGCUCGAGAACACGCUUUAAGCUGCUUGACUCAGUGCCAGUACCAUCAUGUGGUCCCGUCUGAGUUGCCCAAACUAAGAACAGCUCAGCUGAAAAUAACACUGAGCUAGUUCCCCCAUGGCCCAUCCUAGCCCCGUGGCCCAUCCUAGCCCCGUGGCCCAUCCUAGCCCUGUGACUGUGGCCGUGGCAUCUCAAAGAUGGGCCGACCGGAGACAAACAGGCAGAAGGAGGAGGUGGAGCGUGGGUCGUCUGCACUGCAAUCCCCUGUGGAAAGUGGUCAAGCAGACAAUGAGCGUGUCUGUGAAUAUGGCCUCCUUCACCUUUGCAGUUGGAUUGGUAUCAGCUCAGAAGAUGGAGAACAUUGACGGGGAGAUAAAGAUCUGGAGAGAAAAGGACUCCUCAGGAAGAACAUCAGCUGCUCACUCGUCCCCCAGGACAGGCCUCCAGGGAAACGCUUCGCUCUCUCCGAAGCCAAGCAUUGGAGCUGGUUACCCAAAACUGGCACCUACGAGGGCGAGUGACGCGAUCGGCAUGGGAAAUUGGGAGCUUUAUCCGAUCAAGGAACAGCCAGGACAACAUCAGAGGUCAAAGGAGCCGCUCAGCUGAAACUAGUACAGAGUAAUAUUGAAUGUAAACUGUAACUGAAAAAAAAUAAGAAGCAGCUCAACAACAGGAAGAUCAGGAACAAAGGAAGGAAGAGGAUGAUGGGCAAACAUUGCACCAAGCUCGGGAGUGGGAUGACGCAUCCGAGGGCUGAUAACUGAGAGAACCUGGGUCAGCCUUCCCACAGCAAGACAGGCCUGCGGGGGGCGGGGGCGGGGCGUGCACAUCUUCCCAUCCCUGGGCUCCUGCUUCCAUUCUGGACCACGAAGGCAAAGGUGCUUAAUCUUGCUUUGUGUUCAAUAAAGUGUCAAGCAAUUAAGUAUUUAUUUGUGUCCUAGGUGAUGAGCCAGCGACCUUGUUUUGGCAUUAUCAUCCCUAUCAGAGUGCAACCCAAUUUCUUAAGUGAAAGAAAAGAGGACUGAGAAAUGGCUCUGUAUAGUCAAUGGCUGUAUGAAUUCUCCUUAAAAACUAAUGAAACGCCCUGGCCAGUGUGGGUCAGUGGUGGGAGCGUGGGUCCGUGCACCGAAGGGUCUUCAGUUCGACUCCCCAUCAGGCGCAAGUAUCUGUGUUGCAGGUUCCAUCCCUGCCCCUGUCGGG